rnacentral:rRNA from 1 species
GAGGACACGCUGGCGGCGUGCCUAACACAUGCAAGUCGAGCGGAGAUGUACUGAAGAUUUAUCGGAUGUACAUCUUAGCGGCGGACGGGUGAGUAACGCGUGGGCAACCUGCCUUUCACUGGGGGAUAACACAGGGAAACCUGUGCUAAUACCGCAUGACAUCACGUAGGGCAUCCUAUGUGAUCAAAGGAGAGAUCCGGUGGAAAGAUGGGCCCGCGUCCAAUUAGCUGGUUGGUGAGGUAAAGGCUCACCAAGGCGACGAUUGGUAGCCGAACUGAGAGGUUGAUCGGCCACAUUGGGACUGAGACACGGCCCAGACUCCUACGGGAGGCAGCAGUGGGGAAUAUUGCGCAAUGGGGGGAACCCUGACGCAGCAACGCCGCGUGAAGGAAGAAGGUCUUCGGAUUGUAAACUUCUUUGAUGAGGGACGAAUAAAGUGACGGUACCUCAAAAACAAGCCACGGCUAACUACGUG